AUAUUUGAUAAUAUCUGGCGUGCCUUUCUACAGGUGACCCCACGAAAGAAGUUCAAAUGUCCAGAAUGCACAGCAAUUGAUGGGUUAUCACUGGACCAGACACACAUGGUGGAAAGAUCUGAAUGCAUCAAUAAGUUUGCCUCUGUCUUUGGGACCAUGCCUCUCAAAGUGGUGGAACAUCGUGCUGACCCCGUCCUUUACAAAGAUGACUUUCCUGAGAAACUGAAGAGCUUUCCCAAUAUUGGCAGCUUAUAAAGAGAGAGACAAACCUCAGUGAGGAAAACAACAGCUGAAAAGGUGCUAUGAGGAAUAAGGCCCUGAGACAAAGCUUGCUGGAGAGUGGGUUGCAUCUGAGGGAGAUGGGAAUUAAUGUUGUUGUCUUCCUUUUGCAUUGCACAAAGUUGUAACUGAAAUCUGAACAACUGCUUCUCUGUUGCUCACAGAGAAUUGAAUCUAUUUGCGGGUUCUCCAAAAAAUGUCAAACGCUUUGACAUUUUUGUCCAAAGGAGGCUAUGCACCUGAAGAAUAAAAAAGAAUCUGGCUCUCUGGUCUGACUGGCAUGACCUCUUCUAUCAAAUGUGCUGCAAGCUCUCUGCUUAGUGAGCAUCCAUCCAUUGAAAGCAACUGUCUGCAAUGUAGAGCUGUUCUCUUUUGGGAGGAGUUGAUUUCCUGUGUGGCUGGUGGGCCUCUGUCUUUUGAGCUUUAACUGUUGUCUUAAGUAACUGUGAAACAAAUAUUUUCUUCUGUAAUAUGAGACAAAUGUUUAUUUUUUUACAACACCACAAAUGAAAAUCUGUUCUCACCUAGUUUAAAGAGCAAAGCAUUUUGUGUUACUUAAAUUAUUUUGAUGGAGAUGGAGACACAGCAGCUGGGAGGAUACUCUCCUUCAAAGCAGAGACCUGCAGGACAGAACUGCAAUUGCUGCACUUUCUGUGUAAAUCUCAGGUUUUCUGCUGCACUCAUGCAAAAGACUCAGACUCUAUAUCAGAACUAGUUGUAUUAUGCAGAAAAUUAUUUGUCUUUAGCCUUCUUAUAUUUUUUAUUUUCAUUAUCAAACCAGCAAUCAAGUUACAGUUUUAUAUUAUAGCCAUCCAUAGGGAUGAAGUAUGAAAUAAAUUUUUAAUGUCUGAAUCCUCUUCAGGAAGCAGCUUACUAAUCUGUAAAACACCUAUAUUUUCAGAAAUUCCUAGUUCAAGCUUCAAUGUACAGGCAAGUGUGUAUGUGUAAGACACUGUUAGCGCACACUUACAAACUCCUGUAAGUUACCACUGUUGGAAAAACUAUUGUGUCUUUGCUUGUAAUUUAAGGAACCCAUUGCCACAGGCUGAAACAUACAGCUUUAGGAAGUCCUUUGGAGAAGAUUUAUGUUUCUCAGAGGCAUUUGAAUUGUUUCACCAUACUGAAAUGAACCUCAAUGAGAAAACUAAAUGCAACAAAAUUAGAAAUAAAGUUGCCUGGACUGUUACACUUGCCCUUCAGUAUUAAUAGGGGUCCUAAAUUGUGCUGGGAAAGUAAUCUCUUUUCCAGCUCCACUGAUAAAAUGUUUGUUACUAGAUAAGUGUAAUUUCACUGUUUUUGGAACCUCUGUUGCUGCUGGUUACAGACACAUCCUACUUGAUGGGCUGUUUUUCUGUUACAGUGCAAGCAACCUUAUUCCUCAGAUUUGCCAAACCCCAAACAAUAGGACAAGUGUUAGACAUCAUGGCUCACCCCCUCUCCUAAGCUGGAUACGCAGAAAUGACAGAAACCAAAUGAAAGUCAGGCUAGAAACAGGAAACAUCUGCUCCUAUUUGUCUCACCCCCUCUAAGACUUAUCUUAUUGCCCAAUGCAGUGGAUGUGCUGUGAAUGAAAAUCAUAUUGGAACAAUAGCUUUGAGGGGAUGCUUCACUUCAUAACCUCCCUGGGAUGUGCCUGUAAACUGUAUCAUCUGACUCUCUGGGAGUGUUUAAUUACUAGUAAAUGGUUUUUGCUGCGCUCUUUGUUUCAUUCCUGAGUUGCUAUGGGAGCUAAAAGUAUAGCUGUUGCAGUGACAACUGAUGUCUGCACAGUGGCUAUCACAAUAGAGGAAGGUUUGUUACUCAUUAUUUCUCCUUUGCAGCCUUUCAGGUUUAUUAACAUAAACCUUCUUACUGAAUCUUCCUGUUGAUUUAUGAGCUGGUGCUUGAGCAUCAGGAGAUACCAGCACAUUUCCCUUGAGAAGUUUGCUUUAAAGGGUAGCUGUGACAGUGCAGUAGUUGCUUCAGUUUUAGCUGUCCUUUUAGAGCUGAUCUCAGCUUGGCAGGCCCUAGCAGUUUAACUGAGUUAUAACACUUUCUUUACAAAGUUGUGAAGCCACUGUGAUUUCUUGAUUCUUCCUCAGCAAGCCAGUAAAAAUCUUUGUUUUGCACAGAGUCUUAAGAGACACUGAGGAUUUGAAAUAGUUGGUUGAAUAUUUUUAGAUGUAAACAGCCAAACCAGUUCUGCUAAGAUGACCUAUAAUCUCCAGUCCAUAAAAAAGUAACAAGUCCUUGUGUCUGCAUCCAGGAGCAGCUGAGUAUUCUCCCUUUGCACAAAAUGUCCAGUGACCCCUAACAAUCAUGUUUUAUCCUUUGGCCUUUUACAGUUGCUUUUAUAGGGCUAGCUCAUUUACAACCCCAUUUGUCUCUGUUUAGUGCCAUGGAGAAAAUUAGGCAAUUGACCAUAAAGAAAAAUUGUAAAAUUGCCUACUUACUUGCUCUCUGCAUUUAUGAUUGUGAUGUUCUUGGUGCAAAUUCUGUAAAGGUAAGAUGUAAUUGUAUGUCUGAUUUGGAAUUGGGGUUUUGUCCAUCUUUAAAUUAAGAUAAUUUUUAACUUUUCAUUGUAUAUAUGAUAUCCAAAAAAGCUCAAUAGUUGUAUAUUAAAAAUUAAAUCACAUGAGUGUUUAUUGUAUUUCACUUCUGGACUGGCAUAAGGAAACAUGAAUUAAUUCAGAGGGGAGAAUUUCUGUGACAAACUCUUUUACUACAUAAAUCUGUGUUAAACUUGAA